UGGUGGAGUGAUUUGUCUGGUUAAUCCCGUUAACGAACGAGACCUCAGCCUAUUAAAUAGUAUUAUGAUAUGGAAACAUAUAUAAAGACUUCUUAAAGGGACAUGUUGGGUUACCAGCGGGAAGUUUGAGGCAAUAACA
rnacentral:rRNA from 1 species